CAGUAGCCGCGGGAAUACGAAGGGGGCUAGCGUUGCUCGGAAUGACUGGGCGUAAAGGGCGCGUAGGCGGAUUGUGCAGUCAGACGUGAAAUUCCUGGGCUCAACCUGGGGACUGCGUUUGAGACGUGCGAUCUAGAGUUUGGAAGAGGGUCGUGGAAUUCCCAGUGUAGAGGUGAAAUUCGUAGAUAUUGGGAAGAACACCGGUGGCGAAGGCGGCGACCUGGUCCUUGACUGACGCUGAGGCGCGAAAGCGUGGGGAGCAAACAGGAUUAGAUACCCGGGUAGUCCCUGUCUCUUAUAA
rnacentral:rRNA from 1 species